rnacentral:rRNA from 1 species
UGGGGAAUAUUGCACAAUGGGGGAAACCCUGAUGCAGCGACGCCGCGUGAGCGAAGAAGUAUUUCGGUAUGUAAAGCUCUAUCAGCAGGGAAGAAGAAUGACAGUACCUGACUAAGAAGCCCCGGCUAACUACGUGCCAGCAGCCGCGGUAAUACGUAGGGGGCAAGCGUUAUCCGGAUUUACUGGGUGUAAAGGGAGCGUAGACGGAACGGCAAGUUUGAAGUGAAAUACCCGGGCUUAACCCGGGAACUGCUUUGAAAAACUGUCGAUCUAGAGUGUCGGAGAGGUAAGUGGAAUUCCUGGUGUAGUAGUGAAAUGGCGUAGAUAUUAGGAGGAACACCAGUGGCGAAGGCGGCUUACUGGACGGUAACUGACGUUGAGGCUCGAAAGCGUGGGGAGCAAACAGGAUUAGAUACCU